rnacentral:rRNA from 1 species
GAUGAACGCUGGCGGCGUGCUUAACACAUGCAAGUCGAGCGAGAAAAGUUCUUCGGAGCUUUUCUAGCGGCGGACGGGUGAGUAACACGUGGGCAACCUGCCUCAUAGAGGGGAAUAGCCUUCCGAAAGGAAGAUUAAUACCGCAUAAUGUUGUUGAAAGGCAUCUGUUAACAAUUAAAGGAGCAAUCCGCUAUGAGAUGGGCCUGCGGCGCAUUAGUUAGUUGGUGAGGUAACGGCUCACCAAGGCGACGAUGCGUAGCCGACCUGAGAGGGUGAUCGGCCACAUUGGAACUGAGAUACGGUCCAGACUCCUACGGGAGGCAGCAGUGGGGAAUAUUGCACAAUGGGGGAAGCCCUGAUGCAGCAACGCCGCGUGAGUGAUGAAGGUCUUCGGAUUGUAAAGCUCUGUCUUUAGGGACGAUAAUGACGGUACCUAAGGAGGAAGCCACGGCUAACUACGUGCCAGCCGCCGCGGUAAUAC